rnacentral:sRNA from 1 species
AGUACUGAAGUCCAGGGCGUCGGUGCUCACUGCUCUGGCAAUGCCCGGUGAGACUGAAUUAUGUUUAAAUUUAUUGUAGAUGCUGAUCUUCUGGACAAUCACACUUUUCCUGCUGGGAGCAGCCAAAGGAAAAGAAGUUUGCUAUGAGGACCUCGGGUGCUUUUCUGACACUGAGCCCUGGGGCGGGACAGCAAUCAGGCCCCUGAAAAUUCUCCCCUGGAGCCCUGAGAAGAUCGGCACCCGCUUCCUGCUGUACACCAAUGAAAACCCAAACAACUUUCAAAUUCUCCUCCUCUCUGAUCCAUCAACAAUUGAGGCAUCAAAUUUUCAAAUGGACAGAAAGACCCGGUUCAUCAUCCAUGGCUUCAUAGACAAAGGAGAUGAGAGCUGGGUGACAGACAUGUGCAAGCCUGGGGCAUCGCCAAGAGCCUGAAAGGACCCCCUCACAGUCAAAUCCGCAAGGUCGUUUAGACACUGGCCACCGGAGAUUGCACCUAAGACUUUUCCUUUUCAAAACAGGACUCUUUUCAUGAUGCAAUUGUUUUUCCCUUACUAACCAACCUUACUGAAUUUGGUUGAAGGAAACCAGAG